CGAAAGCCUGACGGAGCAACGCCGCGUGAGGGAUGAAGGCCUCUGGGCUGUAAACCUCUUUUAUCAAGGAAGAAGAUCUGACGGUACUUGAUGAAUAAGCCACGGCUAAUUCCGUGCCAGCAGCCGCGGUAAUACGGGAGUGGCAAGCGUUAUCCGGAAUUAUUGGGCGUAAAGCGUCCGCAGGCGGCCUUGUAAGUCUGUCGUCAAAGCGUGGAGCUUAACUCCAUUUAAGCGAUGGAAACUGCAAGGCUAGAGUGUGGUAGGGGCAGAGGGAAUUCCCGGUGUAGCGGUGAAAUGCGUAGAUAUCGGGAAGAACACCAGUGGCGAAGGCGCUCUGCUGGGCCAUAACUGACGCUCAUG
rnacentral:rRNA from 1 species